rnacentral:rRNA from 1 species
UUAAGCUAUAAAGAGCACAGGGCGGAUGCCUAGGCACUGAGAGCCGACGAAGGACGUGACAAGCUGCGAUAAGCUGCGGGGAGAAGCAAAUAUUCUGUGAGCCGCAGAUUUCCGAAUGGGGGAACCCACGUGAGCAAACCUCACGUAUCCAUACGCCAAUCCAUAACGUAUGGAAGGGAACCCGGGGAACUGAAACAUCUAAGUACCCGGAGGAAGAGAAAGAAACAUCGAUUUCCUUAGUAGCGGCGAGCGAAAGGGAAAGAGCCCAAACCGCGGGAUUUAUCCUGCGGGGUUAGGACUGCAUAAUUGAUUCGGGAUUGAUAGGAGAACGGUCUGGGAAGUCCGGCGAAAAAGCGUGAAAGCCGCGUAUCCGAAAUUGAAACCGACAUGGCAGUAUCCAGAGUACCACGAGACACGAGAAACCUUGUGGGAACGAGCGGAGACCACUCCGUAAGGCUAAAUACUACUCAGUGACCGAUAGCGCAUAGUACUGUGAAGGAAAGGUGAAAAGGACCCCGGGAGGGGAGUGAAAGAGAACCUGAAACCCUGUGUUUACAAGCUGUCGGAGCACUUUAAAUGUGCGACGGCGUACUUUUUGUAGAACGGUCCGGCGAGUUAUGGCAUGUGGUAAGGUUAAGUACUUCAGGUACGGAGCCGAAGCGAAAGCGAGUGUGAACAGCACGUAAGAAUCGCCUGCCAUAGACCCGAAACCGGGUGAUCUAUCCAUGUCCAGGAUGAAGCUGCCGUAAGAGGUAGUGGAGGUCCGAACACACAUCCGUUGAAAAGGGUGGUGAUGAGGUGUGGAUAGGGGAGAAAUUCCAAUCGAACCCGGAGAUAGCUGGUUCUCCUCGAAAUAGCUUUAGGGCUAGCCCCGUAACAGUCUUGCGGAGGUAGAGCACUGAAUUUCCUAGGGGGCGUCAAAGCCUACCGAAGAAUAUCAAACUGCGAAUGCCGUACAGAUGAUUUACGGGAGUCAGACUGCACGAGAUAAGUUGGGUGGUCAAAAGGGAAAGAGCCCAGACCCGCAGCUAAGGUCCCAAAGUGCGUGUUAAGUGGAAAAGGAUGUGGGAUUUCGAAGACAACCAGGAUGUUGGCUCAGAAGCAGCCACACAUUAAAAGAGUGCGUAAUAGCUCACUGGUCGAGAGGUCCUGCGCCGAAAAUGUCCGGGGCUGAAACACGACACCGAAGCUCGGGAAUCAGAAAUGAUUGGUAGAGGAGCAUUGAAGACGGAACGAAGCCAUACCGGAAGGAGUGGUGGACUGUCUUGAAGAGAGAAUGCCGGAAUGAGUAGCGAGAGAGAAGUGGGAAUCUUCUCGGCCGAAUAUCCAAGGUUUCCAGGGUAAAGCUGAUCUGCCCUGGGUAAGUCGGGGCCUAAGGCGAGGUCGGAAGACGUAGCCGAUGGACAACAGGUUGAAAUUCCUGUACUGUGAUAUAUCAGAACUGUGGGGACACAGCGGGAAGGCAUGGGCCGGAAAAGGAAAAUCCGGUGCAAGCACCAGAGGAGUAUGGCAGGCAAAUCCGCCAUGCAAUCCAAAAGUGUGAUGCGGAGCGAACAAAAGUAGCGAAGCAUGCUUACCGGCUGUCGAGAAAAGCCGCUAUUGCGUAUAUCACACCCGUACCGUAAACCGACACAGGUGGAUGAGGAGAGAAUCCUAAGGCCGGCGGGAGAAGCAUUGUUAAGGAACUCGGCAAAAUGACCCCGUAACUUCGGGAGAAGGGGUGCUCUUGAAAAAGAGCCGCAGAGAAUUGGCCCAAGCAACUGUUUAGCAAAAACACAGGUCUAUGCAAAACCGAAAGGUGAGGUAUAUGGGCUGACGCCUGCCCGGUGCUGGAAGGUUAAGAGGAGAGGUUAUCGUAAGAGAAGCCUUGAAUUUAAGCCCCAGUAAACGGCGGCCGUAACUAUAACGGUCCUAAGGUAGCGAAAUUCCUUGUCGGGUAAGUUCCGACCCGC